rnacentral:lncRNA from 1 species
UGGGAACUGAAAACUGCAAUUAGGUGGUGAAAGCCCCACGCCUGCACCUCCCCCAGAAAUGCGGGGUUGGGGUGGAGGAGCUUUGGCCAGGUAGGUCUGAUGGUGGGCAGGCUGAGGCUGCAGUGUCCCCAUGCUGCCAGCAGUAAGACCAUUGGGAACGUGGUGGGGGUGGCAGGGUCAGGCUGGCUAGGGGUUGGGGUGGAUGGGGUUUGGGGUGCCCGGGGGUUCUGGGCACAGAACCUAUGGACGCUGGCAGAGUUCUGGGGCAGUGUGGCAGAGCUCUGAUUGUCCACGGGUUUGAAACAGCCAAGGGGUUGGGAUAGCCAAGGAUUUCGGUGGCAGAGCUCUGGUUGGCCAAGUGGGUUGCAGUGCCCAAGGAUUCAGGGUGGCAGAGCUCUCUGGCUGUCCAGGGGUUUGGGAUGCUCAGGGAUUUGGGCUGGAGGAGCUCUGGCGGUCCAGAGGUUUGAGAUGAUCAGGAGUUUGGGCUGCCCAGAGAUAGGGGAUGGUAUAGCACUGGUUGUCUGGGGAUUUGGGGUGACCAGGGCUUUGAGGUGCCCAGGGAUUCGGGGUGGCAGAGCUCUGACUGUCUAUAGGUUUGGAAUAAACAGAAGUUUAAGAUGCCCGAGGUAGGAGAGCUCUGAUUGUCCAGGGCUCUGUGAUGCCUGGGGGAUGGGGAUACCCAGGGAUUCAGGAUAGCAGAGGUUCAAUUGUCCGGAGGUUUCAGACACCCAUGAAUUUGGGUUGUGCAGAGAUUGGGGAUGCCAAGGGGUUUGGGAUGCCCAGGGCUUCGGGUUGUCCAGAGAUUGGGGGUGCCAAGGGGUUUGGACUGCCCAGAGAUAUCGAAUGGCAAAGCUCUGCUUGUCUGGGGAUUUGGGGUGGCCAGGGCUGAGAUUUGUGAUGGUCAGGGCUGGGAUUUGGGGCGUCAGAGCUCCUGUUGUCCAG